rnacentral:rRNA from 1 species
UACGGGGGGGGCAAGCGUUGUUCGGAAUUACUGGGCGUAAAGGGCUCGUAGGCGGCCAACUAAGUCGGAUGUGAAAUCCCCAGGCUUAACCUGGGAACUGCAUCCGAUACUGGAUGGCUUGAAUCCGGGAGAGGGAUGCAGAAUUCCAGGUGUAGCGGUGAAAUGCGCAGAUAUCAGGAGGGACACCGGUGGCGAAGGCGGGUCUCUGGGCAAUAACUGACGCUGAGGAGCGAAAGCGUGGGGAGCGAACAGG